GACGAACGCUGGCGGCGUGCUUAACACAUGCAAGUCGAACGGAAAGGCCCUGCUUUUGUGGGGUGCUCGAGUGGCGAACGGGUGAGUAACACGUGGGUAACCUGCCCUUGACUUUGGGAUAACUUCAGGAAACUGGGGCUAAUACCGGAUAGGAGCUCCUGCUGCAUGGUGGGGGUUGGAAAGUUUCGGCGGUUGGGGAUGGACUCGCGGCUUAUCAGCUUGUUGGUGGGGUAGUGGCUUACCAAGGCUUUGACGGGUAGCCGGCCUGAGAGGGUGACCGGCCACAUUGGGACUGAGAUACGGCCCAGACUCCUACGGGAGGCAGCAGUGGGGAAUAUUGCACAAUGGGCGGAAGCCUGAUGCAGCAAUGCCGCGUGCGGGAUGACGGCCUUCGGGUUGUAAACCGCUUUCGCCUGUGACGAAGCGUGAGUGACGGUAAUGGGUAAAGAAGCACCGGCUAACUACGUG
rnacentral:rRNA from 1 species